UACGUAGGGGGCAAGCGUUGUCCGGAUUUAUUGGGCGUAAAGAGCGUGUAGGCGGCUUUACAGGUCCGCUGUGAAAACUCGAGGCUCAACCUCGAGACGCCGGUGGAAACCGUAAAGCUAGAGUCCGGAAGAGGAGAGUGGAAUUCCUGGUGUAGCGGUGAAAUGCGCAGAUAUCAGGAAGAACACCCGUGGCGAAGGCGGCUCUCUGGGACGGUACUGACGCUGAGACGCGAAAGCGUGGGGAGCGAACAGG
rnacentral:rRNA from 1 species